GACGAACGCUGGCGGCGUGCUUAACACAUGCACGUCGAACGGAGUGGCGAACGGGUGAGUAUUACGUGAGUAACCUGCCCUCAACUGUGGGAUAAGCCUGGGAAACUGGGUCUAAUACUGCCUAGUUGGGGAUGGGCUCGCGGCAGAUCAGCUUGUUGGUGGGGGGAUGGCCUACCAAGGCGGUGAAGGGUAGCCGGCCUGAGAGGGUGGCCGGCCACAUGGGGACUGAGGUACGGCCCAGACUCCGAGUGGGGGCAGCAGUUGGGGAUAUUGCACAAGCGUCGCAAGCCUGAUGCGGAGACGCCGCGUGAGGGAUGAAGGCGUUCGGGUUGUAAACCGCUUUCAGCCAUGACGCGGUAGUGGCAGAAGAAGCACCGGCUAACUACGUGCCAACAGCCGCGGUAAUAC
rnacentral:rRNA from 1 species